CAACUUUCAACAACGGAUCUCUUGGCUCUCGCAUCGAUGAAGAACGCAGCGAAAUGCGAUAAGUAAUGUGAAUUGCAGAAUUCAGUGAAUCAUCGAAUCUUUGAACGCAAAUUGCGCCCUUUGGUAUUCCGAAGGGCAUGCCUGUUUGAGUGUCGU
rnacentral:rRNA from 1 species